rnacentral:lncRNA from 10 species
GCAGGCCGCGUUGCGGACUGCCAGGCUCCGGCCCCGGCACCGGGAGGUGUUCCUGCUGCGCGGGAUCAAGGCCCAGGUGGCCCUGAGGCUGGCGGAGCUGGCGCGGCGGCGGAGGCAGCGGCAGGCACGGCGGAAGGCCGAGGCUGACAAGCCCCGAAGGCUGGGGCGGCUCAAGUACCAGGCACCUGACAUCGACGUGCAGCUGAGCUCGGAGCUGGCAGACUCGCUCAGGACCCUGAAGCCCGAGGGCGACAUCCUUCGAGGCCGGUUCAAGAGCUUCCAGAGGAGGAAUAUGAUCCAGCCUCGACAGAGAGCCAAGUUCAAACCCAGUGUGCAGUCCAUCUUCCAAGUUUCCAGAAGCGGCUGAGAUUUUUAAAAACAGCUGUAAUCUGCGGUCAUUGAUGGAUCCCCUGAAAUGCUGGGCACACUGACUAGCCUCUUGUAUAGAGUCUCAAGCCUGUGGCCAGAAGCAGCUGUGUGAAGUAGCCG